rnacentral:rRNA from 1 species
UACGGAGGGUGCAAGCGUUAUCCGGAUUCACUGGGUUUAAAGGGUGCGUAGGUGGGUCUGUAAGUCAGUGGUGAAAUCUUCGAGCUUAACUCGGAAACUGCCAUUGAUACUAUAGAUCUUGAAUUUUCUGGAGGUAAGCGGAAUAUGUCAUGUAGCGGUGAAAUGCUUAGAUAUGACAUAGAACACCAAUUGCGAAGGCAGCUUACUACGGGAACAUUGACACUGAGGCACGAAAGCGUGGGGAUCGAACGGG